CCCUAGCCCUUAUUGAGCGGCAUGUUUGAGCUCUUUUCCUUUUUGGGGGUUGCGGCGGCGGAGCCGCCGCAACCCCCAAAAAGGAAAAGCGAGUAGCGAAAGCAGGAAAAAGC
rnacentral:misc_RNA from 1 species